GACGAACGCUGGCGGCGUGCUUAACACAUGCAAGUCGAACGGAAAGGCCCUUCGGGGUACUCGAGUGGCGAACGGGUGAGUAACACGUGGGUGAUCUGCCCUGCACUUUGGGAUAAGCCUGGGAAACUGGGUCUAAUACCGAAUAGGACCACGCGCUUCAUGGUGUGUGGUGGAAAGCUUUGGCGGUGUGGGAUGGGCCCGCGGCCUAUCAGCUUGUUGGUGGGGUAAUGGCCUACCAAGGCGACGACGGGUAGCCGGCCUGAGAGGGUGACCGGCCACAAUGGGACUGAGCUACGGCCCAGACUCCUACGGGAGGCAGCAGUGGGGAAUAUUGCACCAUGGGCGCAAGCCUGAUGCAGCGACGCCGCGUGAGGGAUGACGGCCUUCGGGUUGUAAACCUCUUUCAAUAGGGACGAAGCGCAAGUGACGGUACCUAUAGAAGAAGCACCGGCCAACUACGUG
rnacentral:rRNA from 1 species